UUUUUAAACACGCAUUGUUCUCAAAUGAGCCACCUUGGCAUCAUAAAUACUUUUUGGUCAUUCGGGAUUGAGAAGAAUAUUUCUUAGCUGAACUGAAGCGAUCGCUACACAGAAUGAUCUCUUUAAAUAUCUGUCUCAUCUCUUGUGACAACCAACAACACAACAGGUGUCAGGUGUUGAAAGGAGGCUAAAUGAUGGCCACACCCUGGAAAAGAGCACAGUUGAAGACAAUCUUUUGCGUGACUUCCAAGUUGUGAUUUUCCUGCAACAUGUCAAGUAAAAGUUAUAAAUUCGC